rnacentral:lncRNA from 1 species
AUGUAAACAUUUUGGGGCCUCCAGUGUUGUGGGAGAGGAAGAAUUGAACAGAAUAAGGGUGACAAGUAGGGCUCCGGGUGAAAAAAUGCAGAAUAAUACUGGCACAGAAGCAUCUCUUGCCUCCCAGUCUUGCUGUUGACAAAAAACAUUGCUGUUGACAAAAAAACAUUGAGAGAGAGAGAGAGAGGCACAAAAUCAUCAGCAUCCCAUAUCAAAGGAACAAUGAGGUGUCAAGGAUAAUCUGAAGAUGGAGCUUCUCCAGGGAGCGAGAAAGAGGGCUUUAAGUGCUAGAACAAGAGUUCUCCAGUACAAUAAUGAUGGGAGUUGAGUGGCUGUGCCAGGAACAGACCAAGGCGAUUCUAGUUCUCCAGAACCUGUUCAGCCAUAAAUAACAGAGCAUGUUAAAGUGGCAGCUUUUAUACUAAUUGCCAAGUCUCACAGUUACUGGCGCUGGGCGAGCAGCUCCCAUUUUACCCCACUGCUUCUGUCAAUUAAGUCUCUUCCUUCCUCAUUCCUCUACUUGAGGCCAAAAUACUUGAAUCUUUCCAGCAGAUGGCGUCCUCUUUCUAUCUUUAACGCAUUCUCCAUUCUGGCAGAGAAGAUACUUACUUAACAGCCUGGGAGACAGCAAGAGCCUUUGUCCAUGUACAGUAGUUGAAAUGUGAUGGAUGCCAACCUGACCGUGGUGGGUUUGUGACUCAUAGUUCUUCUGGGGAAAUGCCUUUGCAGGGAGACUCUUUCUGUCCAGUUUACCAAGGAAGGAAAGGUUGCAGCAAGGACUCUGCAGCGUUGGCUGCCAGCCGUCUGGGCCAGCAUGGAGAAUGGAGUGGUGCUGCAGAGCAAAGAGCCACUAGGACAACGUUCAGGAGAACUGGAUGGACUUGCACUGUCACUGGAAACAGGAACAAUGGCCAGUUCAGAAGGAGACUCAGAAAGGAUGGUGGAUGAGAGAAGGACGACCUCUGAAACAACAAACAAGCCUUGCAUUGUGAGUCCCCGAGAGCAAGCCAGGAGGGACAGCCAUGGGAGCAGGGAACUUGCUGUACACUUUGAAGACAGUGGUGAGAGCGAUGAAGGUUGGUGAGUGAGUCUUUGCUGUUGCUUUCCUUGUUUGCGCUCUUUCCCUUUGUGUGUUUCUGUCUCUUCUGUGCCGUUCUCUUUCUUUCCUUCUUCUGUUCUAAUGUUGUUUACAUCUUUCAGAUUCUCUGCUACACAUUUCCACCCCCCUCAUUUUUCUUUCUCCAGUUUAAUUCUUUCUCAUCUGCUCUCCCCCUUAAUUUUCUUUUUCUUUCCCCACUUUAAACCGUCCCCACCUUCAAAGAAUCAGCACUUCUUCUUUCACCCUCAAGAAGGAAGAUUCCCUCUACUGGUGACAGUUUGUGACUAGUGUGAGGGUCACCUUCCCUAACAUUUAGGGGUGAGGUUCCCUUGUCCAUAAGCCUCCCUAUGGAGCCAGAGGUUGACAGCUUGAUUCCCCGCUGUGCCUCCUGCAAUCAAGCCAGUCUGUGUGGCCUUGAGCAAACUGCACAGUCCCAGGGCACCCCCCCCCAAAGAAGGGAAUGGUAAACCACUUCUGAAUAUUCUUUACCUAGAAAACCCUGGAAAAGGUUGCCAUAAGUCAGAAUUGACUUGACGAUGCACCAAUUAUUAUUAUUUAAGCUGGCUCUAGUUUAUGCUUUGUUACCAUACUAAGGUUUCAUCUUUGUUUCUCUAGAUAUGGAUCCCUCUGAAGAUGGACUCAGCACCUCACUGAUGGAACUUUCUGUGCUGCAAAGACUGGGGCUGCAUAGGUUGGAAGCGUUUGGAUUUCUUGUGAGCUGGUAGAGCAAUAUAAAAUGUGGCAGUAUUCAAGGGAGAUGACAUUCCUUCUCAGGAGUGAGCACAUAGCCAUACUUUGGGUUGAAAUCAAUCCUUAGAGUAAGAUGUAUGUGGAUAUGGGUGUGGAGAGUGAGAGCAAGCGAGCAAGGGAGUAGGUCCAUGUGAAAUUUUACCAAAUUACUGCCAGAGCUGUAACCCCCCAUAACACUGGCACCAAAAUUCACCAAUGGCCCACAGUCUGAGUGAGAAGAGCUCAUCUUACAGUG